CUACCUGUCUUGGGCUCCCAAAGUCCUGGGAUUACAUGCAUGAGCCACCAUGCCCGACUAGGGAUGAUCUUUUGAGAACACUUUUAAGAACCACGAGGAGCUAGAGGUGGUAGGAAAAGGCUCUGUGUUCGGCAGAAAGACCACCAUCUACCAUGGUUACUGGGAAUCAAGUUGUAGCACUGCCAUUCACUAGAGUGUGACCUUGGACAAGUCACUUAAAAUUCUUUUAUCCUGUGUUCUUUACCUCACAAUGGGGACAUUCUAAUGCCCAUUUUCAAGCAUGGGCCUGUGUAUCAGAUGAGGUCACAUACAUGGAAGCUCUGUAAGGCGUACACUGCUCUAAUAGAGCAAGGGUUGUCCCGCUUCCUAAUAGACAUAAAUUACAGUGCUGUCUCCAGUGGAUUUAGACUUUUCCACAAUGCUGUGCCUAGAUGUACAGAGUCCAAGGCUUUACACAAAUUGCACAUUUCCUUUGUAUUUCAAGAGUCUUAAAUCACAACAGAUCACAGUUUCUGAAGGGAACUCUGUUGGUGAAGAAUAAUCUUCUAUGAACUUGCUGGUGACCGGCUCUCACAUUACAAGAGUUGGCGGUUAAAACUGACGUGGAGAGUUUCUUGUACUGAUCUGGCAACGCUUUCUGCAAAAUACCAUCACAUCUCCCUUCAGCCCCAGAACUUCUGGCUGCUACGUUUUGUCUUAUCCCUCUGAUGUAUUUAAUCCCAAGUGUGACAUAAUUACAUCAUCAAUGAACUCUUUUUAAUUAACUGGCUGAGGGUAAACAUAAUUGAACUCAACUGUUUCAUAUUUUGAAGGGUGUGUACUUUUAUUUCUGCAUGAUUGUACUGGGGCAAGUGAGUUAUAAACACAAACAGAUCA
rnacentral:lncRNA from 1 species